GUGGAUUAGAUACCCUGGUAGUCCACGCCGUAAACGAUGAUAACUAGCUGUCCGGGUUCAUAGAACUUGGGUGGCGCAGCUAACGCAUUAAGUUAUCCGCCUGGGGAGUACGGUCGCAAGAUUAAAACUCAAAGGAAUUGACGGGGGCCUGCACAAGCGGUGGAGCAUGUGGUUUAAUUCGAAGCAACGCGCAGAACCUUACCAGCGUUUGACAUCCUGAUCGCGAUUACCAGAGAUGGUUUUCUUCAGUUCGGCUGGAUCAGUGACAGGUGCUGCAUGGCCGUCGACAGCU
rnacentral:rRNA from 1 species